UUUUGUAGCAUUUUCAGAAAUACUGUAAUUUCUUGCAUUAUAGGAUUAUUUUAAAAACCUUAUAAUUGCCUCGCUAUUAAAGAUAGAGAUAUGACUCAAAGGCUGGGACAUACCUCAAUCAAUGAACCAACAUGUAUGUGUCAGGAAAAAAUCUAAGAAACUUACACAAAUCAAGAACUAUAAAAUGCAAUACAAACACAUGUAUUUAAAAAAUACAAUAAAAUUAUUUAUGUGUAAAAUUAGUAAAAACUAACAAUACCACUAAAAAUAUCACAGGCAUUAUGUUGGUCAUAGGAGAUCGGAAGUUGGACGGAGGUACUACUCCAAUGAAUAAAAGACAUUUUUAGCUAGUUACUCCUUAAUCUUGGCUUGAAAUGUAGUAAGUUGCAGAUAUUCAACAGAGAAAAGCAAGAAAAUGAAAGACUAUUCUUCACAAGAUAGAGUUGUGUUUAUGUGAAACUCUUCCCUAUCCAUGAAACAAAUCUGAGAAGUCAAUAAAUUUAAAGAAAAAUCAUUAUUUUGUCUUUAUUUUUUGCCAUUUUUAAGUUUCAUGUGAUUUUGCAAAAACUGCACCAUGCUUUUAAAGAUAAAGAUGUGAUUCAAAUACUGUGUUGCAUAGAUGGAAUUUCUACGAAAGCAGCUAUUUCAGAACCUGCUUUUCUACAGAAACAGUUUUGCCCUGCUUAUUAGUUCUCAAAAAAUCUGCGACCAAGAAGCAGUAUAUUGUGAAUGUUAGUCAUAACCAGGACCAAUCAUGGAUGGAGUUCUACAUUUGCGUUACCACUUAUUUAUCAAAACACUAUUAGAAAAGCAGAGUCUAUCUUUUUAAGACUAUAUUACAUCUGUAUGUACAUAAUUAGGCAAAAAUAUAGAGGACCCAAUAGAAUUUUCUUCCUAAUACCACUAAGAAAAGACAGUUUUUGGUCACUUAUUAGGAUACUUGCUUUUGCAAAAGAGAUUAUCACAAUAAGAGAAUGUACAACCUGGAUAUCAUUGUUUCUAAGAAAUUAUGCAAAUCAUUUAUAAAAUUAGUCCUAGUCAUAGGUGGUGGUUGAUAUGCUGCGAUCAAGCCAAAAUUUGUGCUUAUUUCUAUUAAAAUUAUAAAUAAAGACUUAUUUACCACUAAA